UACGGGGGGGGCAAAGCGUUGUUCGGAAUUACUGGGCGUAAAGGGCUCGUAGGCGGCCCACUAAGUCCGACGUGAAAUCCCCAGGCUUAACUUGGGAACUGCGUCGGGAUACUGGUGGGCUUGAAUCCGGGAGAGGGAUGCGGAAUUCCAGGUGUAGCGGUGAAAUGCGUAGAUAUCUGGAGGAACACCGGUGGCGAAGGCGGCAUCCUGGGACCGGUAUUGACGCUGAGUGAGCGAAAGCCAGGG
rnacentral:rRNA from 1 species